rnacentral:rRNA from 1 species
AUUGAACGCUGGCAGCAGGCCUAACACAUGCAAGUCGAACGGUAACAGGAAACAGCUUGCUGUUUCGCUGACGAGUGGCGGACGGGUGAGUAAUGUCUGGGAAACUGCCUGAUGGAGGGGGAUAACUACUGGAAACGGUAGCUAAUACCGCAUGACGUCGCAAGACCAAAGAGGGGGACCUUCGGGCCUCUUGCCAUCGGAUGUGCCCAGAUGGGAUUAGCUAGUAGGUGGGGUAACGGCUCACCUAGGCGACGAUCCCUAGCUGGUCUGAGAGGAUGACCAGCCACACUGGAACUGAGACACGGCCCAGACUCCUACGGGAGGCAGCAGUGGGGAAUAUUGCACAAUGGGCGCAAGCCUGAUGCAGCCAUGCCGCGUGUAUGAAGAAGGCCUUCGGGUUGUAAAGUACUUUCAGCGGGGAGGAAGGGAGUAAAGUUAAUACCUUGACUCAUUGACGUUACCCGCAGAAGAAGCACCGGCUAACUCCGUG